UACGUAGGUCCCGAGCAUUGUCCGAAUUUAUUGGGCGUAAAGCGAGCGCAGGUGGUUUAUUAAGUCUGGUGUAAAAGGCAGUGGCUCAACCAUUGUAUGCAUUGGAAACUGGUAGACUUGAGUGCAGGAGAGGAGAGUGGAACUCCAUGUGUAGCGGUGAAAUGCGUAGAUAUAAGGAAGAACACCAGUGGCGAAGGCGGAUGACUGGACGGCAACUGACGGUGAGGCGCGAAAGCGUGGGGAGCAAACAGG
rnacentral:rRNA from 1 species